rnacentral:rRNA from 1 species
UACCCGCUGGAAUUAAGCAUAUUAAUAAGCGGAGGAAAAGAAACUAACAAGGAUUCCCUCAGUAAGGGCGACUGAAGCGGGAAGAGCUCAUGAUGUGAAUCGGUGUUUCGGCACUGAAUUGUGGUCUAUAGAUUCUUCCAUUAAUGGCCGGGUUAAGUCUCUUGGAAUAGAGCGGCAUAGAGGGUGAGACCCCCGUGAACCUGGACUUUAGAGGGAGUAUCAACGAGUCGAGUUGUUUGGGAUUGCAGCUCAAAGUGGGAGGUAAAUUCCUUCUAAAGCUAAAUAUGGGCGAGACACCGAUAGUGUACAAGUACCGUGAGGGAAAGAUGCAAAGAACUUUGAAAAGAGAGUUAAAGAGUACCUGAAAUUGCUGAAAGGGAAGCGAAGGAAAUCAGUGAAGGUCUAGUUGCAUUUUCUUGUUUGCUUGCAGGCGAGACGCUGUGACGGGCCGCGCAACGCUUGAUUGGGUUGGAUUAAUUACCCCAGUGGGAGUUGACCUCUGAGGGAACAAUUUGACGUGAUUGAGUUGGUGCAAAAUGGUUUUCUUCUCCCCGUCUUGAAACACGGGAACCAAGGA